CCUACGGGAGGCAGCAGUGGGGAAUAUUGGACAAUGGGCGAAAGCCUGAUCCAGCAAUGCCGCGUGAGUGAUGAAGGCCUUAGGGUUGUAAAGCUCUUUUACCAGGGAUGAUAACGACAGUACCUGGAGAAUAAGCUCCGGCUAACUCCGUGCCAGCAGCCGCGGUAAUACGGAGGGAGCUAGCGUUGUUCGGAAUUACUGGGCGUAAAGCGUACGUAGGCGGUUAUUCAAGUCAGAGGUGAAAGCCUGGAGCUCAACUCCAGAACUGCCUUUGAAACUAGAUAGCUAGAAUCUUGGAGAGGUGAGUGGAAUUCCGAGUGUAGAGGUGAAAUUCGUAGAUAUUCGGAAGAACACCAGUGGCGAAGGCGACUCACUGGACAAGUAUUGACGCUGAGGUACGAAAGCGUGGGGAGCAAACAGGAUUAGAUACCCUGGUAGUCCACGCCGUAAACGAUGAUAACUAGCUGUUCGGGCUCUACGAGCUUGAGUGGCGCAGCUAACGCAUUAAGUUAUCCGCCUGGGGAGUACGGUCGCAAGAUUAAAACUUAAAGAUAGUAGACGUGAGAGAGNGACGAGACACAGGAGGUAGAG
rnacentral:rRNA from 1 species